UUACAGCUUACAAUGAAGAGCUAUUCAUGAGGUGCAGUAUAAUGACAAUUUCAUCUGUUCCCCAUGUCAUGGAUAUGCUCUUCAUAAAAGCUAUAA
rnacentral:pre_miRNA from 1 species